AUUUCACAAAAUGGCUACCUUGCAAUGUACAAGUUUGUUGUGUUCUCUCUUUAUUAUGUUAAAUAUAAGGAUAAUUUUCUGAAAUGUUUGAGCAAUUUGCAAAUGAAAUGAAUUUAUUAUUAAUAUAAAGUGAAUCAACCACCUGUAAAGGGAGUUUUUAGAUGCGGCUGGGCGAAUCAAUUUGGCGAUUGAAUCGAGAAAAGAUCCCAAGCUUUAAUAUGAUGGAAUACUCGUCUUGGGCUCAACAGCAAUUAAUAAUGGACAAUCAACGUUAUUAUGCUCAGUAUAUGGAGGAAUUAUCUCACUAUCAUCACAAUCAUCACAAUCAUCAUCACCAUCAUCAACGAUCUGAUCUAGUAGAAGAGGAUAGUGAGCAAAUCGGAGAUGAAAUGCACGAUACAAUGACGUCUGCCACUUCCUGUGAUCGUAGUUCAAGUGCCGAUCUCUUCAGACUUGAAUUCGCCGCAACUCAAUGGUCUAAACUCGUUUCCAAUGCGGAAGGUCUCUUCAAUAAGCUUAUCGUAAGUAAUAUUUUGCCUCAUACCGAACAAGAUCAAAUAGAACAAUGGCUAUGCAUGAAACAAGAAUACGAGGAAUGUAUCACGAGCGAUGAUACAGCGAGUUUUCAAGGAUUCGCCGACAAUGCAAGAAGAUCACUAGAAAUAAUUGAAGAGGUCACGGAAACUGAUGAGAAAACCGACGAAUCCGAAAAUCGAAUGGACUAUCGAGACAGAUCGGACACAUGUUCGGAAACGGAGAGUGAAAUUUCCGAGGAGGACGACGAAGACGACGAGGAAGAUGACGAGGAGGACGACGUCGACGACGAUGAAGAGGAAGAGGAAGACGACGACGACGAAGAUCAAAGCGACACAAAUUCCGAAAAUCCCGAUUUCGCCGAGAGACUCGACGAAUGCAUGACUAAAUUCAUAUUCGAAACCGAUGGAUUUAUUGAUUCAAAUAAAGAAUUUCGAGAGCCAACAACACCAAUUAUUCCACAAAUAUCAAGAAACAAUAACGACACGAGUCCAAUAAUGAAACCAAUGCCCAGAAGAAAUCCAAACAUGAGACGAAAUUCAAUGCUUCCUGGUUCGGAAAUGUGUAACGGUCUACUCGCCUUCAAUGACAAUUUCAAACUCACUCAAGCUCAGAAUAUUCAAACCGACUCGUCAAACAGUAUUAGUCUCUCGAAAAUUUCCGAAACUGCCCAAAGCAGCGAAUUAGAACCACAAAAUAACAAUAACGAAAUCGCCAUAAUGUCCCAAUCGGAGAAUUCACCAAAUUCAUUCCUAGACGUUCUGAGAAAUUCCGAAAGUCCUGGACCAAUAAAAGAACUCAAAGCCCUAACAAAAAACAACAAAGCUAAACAAAAGGAGGUAUUAAAAAUCCAAUCAGAUCUCGAAGGAGCGCACAAGAGAAUCGAAGAACUGCAAUCAACGAUAAAAAUAAAAGAGCGCUUUAUAGCCGAAAUGAUACAAAAUUCCGAUACAAAAUCGUGCGCAAAGCAGAGAUUUCACCAUAAGCAGACAAAACUAAAAGAGGAAUAUUACAACACAAGAACGCAAUUAGCUCACGCCGAGAGUGCAUUCACGACUAAUGAAACCGGCGAGAGAUCAACGUACAAAAAAGAAAUUGAACUCUAUCGAAAUAUGGCAUUUCACUACGAAAAAAAAUUAAUGGACAUUGAAAUGAUAAGGCGAAUUGCUGGCGAUUCGGCGAGAAAAGUACGCGAACUCGAAAAUUCCCUCAGUCUAUCAAAGAAGCAAAUGGAGGAACUUACACGUCAACUGAAAAAGGAGGAACGCCUAAAAAAGCAACUAGAAGACGAAGUUGCCGAGGAUCAAAAGAAAAUUCGCGAUCUAGAAGAGAAAUAUAAUCUAACAGCUUCAAAAUUAAAGGAAAUUCAAUCGGAAAGCGAGGACGAACGGGCAAAAUCAAGAAGUGAGAGAAUAUCCUAUCUCGAUCAGGUCCUGAAAGAAAAAUCAAUGGAUCUCGAGAAAAUUGACGAUACAGAUGAAAAGAAAGCCUUACGACACGAAAUACAAAAUUUUCGUUGUACACGUGAUCGGCUAAUUGAUGAGAAAUUACAUAAAGAAAAAACCUUCACGACAGUUGAUGAUGAACGUGAUUUAUUCGAAUGUAGAGAGACCAUCGAUGUUAUCGACGCAGUGAUUGAACAUAAAAAUGAAAUGAUUUGCGGUAGGAAAGAUUUCGACGAGGAUUUAAAGAAGAGAAAUAAUGGAAUGUGCCUGGAGCAACUGGAUAAAUUGACGGACGGCGAAAUGAAAAAUCUCUUUCACACCUAUUUCAGCAAGGUCGUUGAUUUGAAGCAAAAUCUUCAAUCGCUCGAGAGUCAUAAUCAACAAUUGGAAAUUCAUAAUGAAAAAUUGGAGAAGGAAAAUGUUUGUCUAAAGCAUGAAUAUCGAACAAUGUUUAAUGUAUUGAAACAAGUGAAACUUGAAGCUGAGAAAAGAGAUGUUUUGCGGCAGGAAAAAUAUCAACGACAAUCGCAUUUAAUGCUUAAACAUUUUGCGGAGAAUUCAAGUAGUUCGGGACAACAUGAGAAAAUUGAUAAUGAUUCGGAGAUUGCGAGGUAUAGAAAGGAAAAUCGAAUAUUAAAGAAACGAUUACAGGACGCUGAGGCUCAUAAUAAAUCUCCACCUACCAAAGUAACAAGAGAGAAGAAUAAAUUAAUUAUUCAAAAGACUACCGACUCGGACAAAAAGAAGAAGUGAGUUCAACAUUAAUUAGAUAGGUUUCAAAAAAAAGUUGAGAAGGAUUCCCACGAAGCAGGAAGCAUCUUCUUCUGCCCAAACACAACAGCAAUAAAUCGAAAUUUGUGAAUCGUACUGUAAAUGAUAGAAAGAUUUUCUCAUCAGAAACGUACAUAUUUUCAGUAAAGUGACGUGUUUAAAAAAUUUGCAAACUAUUAAAAAUUAAAUAUUCUUCUUCAAAUUUAGGAAAGUUUUAGUUUCGGGAGUGUUCGAACUUUUUUUAAAACCGCGAACGAUUGUAGGGUGUUUAUAAAUUGUAAUUGAUUGUAAUUUUCUCAAGACUUUUAAAGAAGUGAUUAAUAUUUAACUUUGCGUAGUAUUGUGAGUAUAUGAAAUUCUUAAAAUCGCGAGUGAGUGUUUUUGUUUCAUUUGGAGGACAUCAUACAAGUACAGUACUUCAGGAUGAAGCUCGGGCAUAGGCGAAAACAGUCAAUGGCUGAUGGUCAAGAAGAAGGAGUCAGUGUACCUGGUACUAACGUAUAAUCGGUGAAAAUACUUCAAGAAGGUAACAGUGUUAUUGCUCCACUGAGAGAAUCAUCGUCGGCAAGUCUUAAAAAAUUAUUAAAUUAUUAAAAUAAA